rnacentral:RNase_P_RNA from 1 species
GCUGCAGGCCGGGUGACCGCGGGCCGCUUAGGCGGCUCGAGGAAAGUCCGGACACCGCAGGGCAGGACGCUGGGGCGACCCAGGCGGCGAAAGCCGACGGAAAGUGGCACAGAAAGGAGACCGCCGACGGCGAUUCUCCGGAGACGCCGAAGGUAAGGGUGAAACGGUGGGGUAAGAGCCCACCAGCGUCGUGGCGACACGGCGGCUAGCCAAACCCCGUCCGGUGCAAGGCGAACAGGCUCCGCUCGAGGCGGCCCGUCGAGGAGCCGGGUGAGCCGCAAAGAUGGAUGGUCACCCUCGACAGAAUCCGGCUUACAGGCCUGCUAAGGAA